rnacentral:rRNA from 1 species
CCUACGGGAGGCUGCAGUGGGGAAUAUUGGACAAUGGGGGCAACCCUGAUCCAGCCAUGCCGCGUGUGUGAAGAAGGCCCUCGGGUUGUAAAGCACUUUCAGUGAGGAAGAACGCCUGGUGGUUAAUACCCAUCAGGAAAGACAUCACUCACAGAAGAAGCACCGGCUAACUCCGUGCCAGCAGCCGCGGUAAUACGGAGGGUGCGAGCGUUAAUCGGAAUUACUGGGCGUAAAGCGCGCGUAGGUGGCUUGAUAAGCCGGUUGUGAAAGCCCCGGGCUCAACCUGGGAACGGCAUCCGGAACUGUCAAGCUAGAGUGCAGGAGAGGAAGGUAGAAUUCCCGGUGUAGCGGUGAAAUGCGUAGAGAUCGGGAGGAAUACCAGUGGCGAAGGCGGCCUUCUGGACUGACACUGACACUGAGGUGCGAAAGCGUGGGUAGCAAACAGGAUUAGAUACACUGGUAGUC